rnacentral:tRNA from 1 species
GGUCGAAUAGCUCAGUUGGUAGAGCAAAGGACUGAAAAUCCUUGUGUCGGGGGUUCAAUUCCCUCUUCGACCACCA